GAAGUGACUCGGAUAGUCGCGUCAGACAUGGAAACAUGAUUCUGCCGAGGAAAGUCCGGGCUGCGCAGAGCAGGAUGCCGGAUAACAUCCGGCAAGGGUAACCUUGGGAUCAGUGCCACAGAAAAAAGACCGCCCAAGCUUUUAGCUUAGGUCAGGGUGAAAGGGUGUGGUAAGAGCACACCGCUAUGCACGGUAACGGGCGUAGGCAGAGGUAAACCCCAUCCGCAGCAAGGCCAAAUAGGGAAACGCUAAGUGUGGCUCGCAUAGUUUCCGGGUAGGCUGCUUGAGUCUGAGGCAACGAAAGACCUAGAUGAAUGACUAUCAUUUUUCGCAAGAGAGAUACAGAACCCGGCUUAUAGAGUCACUUCAUAU
rnacentral:RNase_P_RNA from 1 species